UUACUUUUGAACCAUAGCAUGUA
rnacentral:piRNA from 1 species